UACGUAGGAGGCGAGCGUUAUCCGGAAUUACUGGGCGUAAAGCGCGCGCGGGCGGCUUUUCAAGUCGGGUGUAAAAUCUUCCCGCUCAACGGGAAGGGAUCGCUCGAUACUGUUGAGCUAGAGAGCAGCAGAGGGAGGUGGAAUUCCCGGUGGAGUGGUGAUAUGCGUAGAUAUCGGGAAGAACACCAGCGGCGAAGGCGGCCUCCUGGGCUGUUUCUGACGCUGAGGCGCGAAAGCGUGGGGAGCGAACAGGAUUAGAUACCCGCGUA
rnacentral:rRNA from 1 species